UACGUAGGGUGCGAGCGUUAAUCGGAAUUACUGGGCGUAAAGCGUGCGUAGACGGUUACGUAAGUCGGGUGUGAAAGCCCCGGGCUCAACCUGGGAAUUGCAUUCGAGACUGUGUAGCUAGGGUGCGGAAGAGGGAAGCGGAAUUUCCGGUGUAGCGGUGAAAUGCGUAGAUAUCGGAAGGAACAUCAGUGGCGAAGGCGGCUCACUGGUCCGGUACUGACGCUGAGGUGCGAAAGCGUGGGGAGCAAACAGG
rnacentral:rRNA from 1 species